AACGGUGCGCAUUUGCUGUAAACGGAAUCGACCCCGUUUGUGGCGUAGCUAACGCGAUAAAUGCGCCGCCUGGGAAGUACGGUCGCAAGAUUAAAACUCAAAGAAAUUGACGGGGGCCCGCACAAACGGCGGAGCAUGCGGCUUAAUUCGAUGCAACGCGAAGAACCUUACCUGGGCUUGACAUGCAGGGUGAAACCCGUGAAAGCGGGUGCUCUUCGGAGCCUGCACAGGUGGUGCAUGGCUGUCGUCAGCUCGUGCCGUGAGGUGUUGCCUUAAGUGGCGCAACGAGCGCAACCCCUGUCCUUAGUUGCCAGCGGAUAAUGCCGGGAACUCUAGGGAGACUGCCGGUGCCAAACCGGAGGAAGGUGGGGAUGACGUUUCCUUCCAUCACA
rnacentral:misc_RNA from 1 species